GUGCCAACUGUAGGAGCCGGCCCUUAGAAACCCCCCAGGAGAUGUUCAGCCCUCUUAGGCACAGGGACAGCUAUUUUCUUGAACACUUGCAGCAUUCGAAUUGAUGAAGAGAUUUUUACAAACAAAUACGGAGCCUUCCCAGCACCUCCAGAUCCAGCACUGUCAAUAUCUUCUGGAGAUGUGAACAUUCAACCAAAGCAAAAGGGGACACUGGAAAAAUGAACGCCAAACCAGAAG
rnacentral:lncRNA from 1 species